AUUGAACGCUGGCGGCAGGCCUAACACAUGCAAGUCGAGCGCCCCGCAAGGGGAGCGGCAGACGGGAGAGUAACACGUGGGAACAUGCCCUUCAGUACGGAACAACCAAGGGAAACUUUGGCUAAUACCGUAUACGCCCGUAAGGGGAAAGAUUUAUCGCUGAAGGAUUGGCCCGCGUCUGAUUAGCUAAUUGGUGGGGUAAUGGCCCACCAAGGCGACGAUCAGUAGCUGGUCUGAGAGGAUGAUCAGCCUCACUGGGACUGAGACACGGCCCAGACUCCUACGGGAGGCAGCAGUGGGGAAUAUUGGACAAUGGGCGCAAGCCUGAUCCAGCCAUGCCGCGUGAGUGAUGAAGGCCUUAGGGUUGUAAAGCUCUUUCGUCAGGGAAGAUAAUGACGGUACCUGAAGAAGAAGCCCCGGCUAACUUCGUGCCAGCCGCCGCGGUAAAAC
rnacentral:rRNA from 1 species